rnacentral:tRNA from 1 species
GUCCUUGUCGAUUAGUGGUUAAAUCAUCUCGUUGUGGUUUAUCUACUCCGAGAAGCCGGAAGUUCGAAUCCUCCCUGGGACA